GAUGAACGCUAGCGGCAGGCCUAAUACAUGCAAGACGAACGGUAAGUUGAGUAGCAAUACUUAGCCAAGAGUGUCGUACGGGUGCGUAACACGUAUGCAACCUACCCUAUACAGGAGGAUAGCCUAGGGAAACCUGGAUUAACCCUUCAUAGUAUUAUUGGAUGGCAUCAUUUGAUAAUUAAAACUGAGGUGGUAUAGGAUGGGCAUGCGUCUGAUUAGUUAGUUGGCGGGGUAAUGGCCCACCAAGACGAUGAUCAGUAGGGGUUCUGAGAGGAAGAUCCCCCACACUGGCACUGAGAUACGGGCCAGACUCCUACGGGAGGCAGCAGUAGGGAAUAUUGGUCAAUGGAUGCAAGUCUGAACCAGCCAUGCCGCGUGCAGGAAGAAGGCCCUUCUGGGGUUGUAAAACUGCUUUUGCCAGGGGAUAAAAUUUCCAUGCGUGGAAAACUGAAGGUACCUGGUGAAUAAGCCACGGCUAACUACGUGCCAGCAG
rnacentral:rRNA from 1 species